rnacentral:snRNA from 9 species
AUACUUACCUGGCGUAGAGGGAUACCGUGAUCAUGGCGGUUCCCCCAGGGCGAAGCUGCUCCAUUGCACUGCGGAGUGGUAGACCCUUGCAAUUAUUUUUAUUAAUAAAAAAAUCAUAAUAA